CAGUCGCCGCGGUAAUGCGAAGGGUGCAAGCGUUAAUCGGAAUUACUGGGCGUAAAGCGUGCGUAGGCGGAUCGAUCAGUCAGGGGUGAAAUCCCAGGGCUCAACCCUGGAACUGCCUUUGAUACUGUCGAUCUGGAGUAUGGAAGAGGUGAGUGGAAUUCCGAGUGUAGAGGUGAAAUUCGUAGAUAUUCGGAGGAACACCAGUGGCGAAGGCGGCUCACUGGUCCAUUACUGACGCUGAGGUGCGAAAGCGUGGGGAGCAAACAGGAUUAGAUACCCCUGUAGUCCCUGUCUCUUAUAU
rnacentral:rRNA from 1 species